rnacentral:rRNA from 1 species
AUUGAACGCUGGCGGCAUGCCUUACACAUGCAAGUCGAACGGUAACAGGUCUUCGGAUGCUGACGAGUGGCGAACGGGUGAGUAAUACAUCGGAACGUGCCCGAGAGUGGGGGAUAGCGAGGCGAAAGCUUUGCUAAUACCGCAUACGAUCUCUGGAUGAAAGCAGGGGACCGCAAGGCCUUGCGCUCACGGAGCGGCCGAUGGCAGAUUAGGUAGGUGGUGGGAUAAAAGCUUACCAAGCCGACUAUCUGUAGCUGGUCUGAGAGGACAACCAGCCACACUGGGACGGAGACACGGCCCAGACUCCUACGGGAGGCAGCAGUGGGGAAUUUUGGACAAUGGGCGCAAGCCUGAUCCAGCCAUGCCGCGUGCAGGAUGAAGGCCUUCGGGUUGUAAACUGCUUUUGUACGGAACGAAAAGACUCUGGUUAAUACCUGGGGUCCAUGACGGUACCGUAAGAAUAAGCACCGGCUAACUACGUGCCAGCCGCCGCAGUAACAC